rnacentral:rRNA from 1 species
UACGGGGGGAGCAAGCGUUGUUCGGAAUUACUGGGCGUAAAGGGCUCGUAGGUGGCCAACUAAGUCAGACGUGAAAUCCCCAGGCUUAACCUGGGAACUGCGUCUGAUACUGGAUGGCUUGAAUUCGGGAGAGGGAUGCAGAAUUCCAGGUGUAGCGGUGAAAUGCGUAGAUAUCUGGAGGAAUACCGGUGGCGAAGGCGGCAUCCUGGACCGAGAUUGACACUGAUGAGCGAAAGCCAGGGGAGCAAACGGG